rnacentral:lncRNA from 9 species
UGACAUCACAGAGACCCAGGUCCUGCCCUCAGGGAGCACUUAGGUCUGGACAAGGUGCUCUGGGAGUACAAAGAAGGCAGUGCCUCCUGGCGACGCUGCGUGUUUGUAAUUUUCUUCUGACCCUAAUGGCUCCAGUUUCCCCUCAGUAUUUAAGCAGAACAAGACAGAGCCUCCAUGCUCUGUAAUCAGACUCCUUUCUCCCCAUCCCUGCUCCUCCAGGGGGGGUCCCAGGGGGUCCCCUAGCCACCCACCUACAGGGGAGCCUCCUCCUCAGUUUAGAACCUGG